rnacentral:other from 15 species
GUUCUGCUGCCCGGUGCGUGUUGGAUACCAUAUCCCCGGGGCCUUAUCGAUCCUAAGGGAGCUGUCCCUGACUGGGCUCCUGGGCUCAGACAUACGGCGCCCACCUGCGUAAAGUAGGUUCCCGGGAUCGCAUAUCCCACGGCCAGGGUGGCACCUAA